rnacentral:rRNA from 1 species
UACGGGGGAUGCAAGCGUUAUCCGGAAUUAUUGGGCGUAAAGGGUCCUGAGGUGGCUAGCCAAGUCUAUUGUGAAAUAUCAGGGCUUAACCCUGAACAUGCGGUGGAAACUAGAAAGCUUGAGUACAGUAGGGGCGGAGGGAAUUUCCGGUGGAGCGGUGAAAUGCAUAGAUAUCGGGAAGAACACCAACGGGCGAAAGCACUCCGCUGGGCUGAUACUGACACUGACAGACGAAAGCUAGGGUAGCGAAAGGG